rnacentral:rRNA from 1 species
GAUGAACGCUGGCGGCGUGCCUAAUACAUGCAAGUCGAGCGAACAGACGAGAGUGCUUGCACUCUCUGACGUUAGCGUCGGACGGGUGAGUAACACGUGGGUAACCUACCUAUAAGACUGGGAUAACUUCGGGAAACCGGAGCUAAUACCGGAUAAUAUUUAGCUUCGCAUGAAGCAAUAGUGAAAGACGGUUCUGCUGUCACUUAUAGAUGGACCCGCGGUGUAUUAGCUAGUUGGUGAGGUAACGGCUCACCAAGGCAACGAUACAUAGCCGACCUGAGAGGGUGAUCGGCCACACUGGGACUGAGACACGGCCCAGACUCCUACGGGAGGCAGCAGUAGGGAAUCUUCCGCAAUGGACGAAAGUCUGACGGAGCAAUGCCGCGUGAGUGAAGAAGGUUUUCGGAUCGUAAAACUCUGUUGUAAGGGAAGAACAAGUACGUUAGUAACUGAACGUACCUUGACGGUACCUUACCAGAAAGCCACGGCUAACUACGUG